AUUGAACGCUGGCGGCAGGCCUAACACAUGCAAGUCGAGCGGAUGAAGGGAGCUUGCUCCUGGAUUCAGCGGCGGACGGGUGAGUAAUGCCUAGGAAUCUGCCUGGUAGUGGGGGAUAACGUCCGGAAACGGGCGCUAAUACCGCAUACGUCCUGAGGGAGAAAGUGGGGGAUCUUCGGACCUCACGCUAUCAGAUGAGCCUAGGUCGGAUUAGCUAGUUGGUGGGGUAAAGGCCUACCAAGGCGACUAUCCGUAACUGGUCUGAGAGGAUGAUCAGUCACACUGGAACUGAGACACGGUCCAGACUCCUACGGGAGGAAGCAGUGGGGAAUAUUGGACAAUGGGCGAAAGCCUGAUCCAGCAAGGCCGCGUGUGUGAAGAAGGUCUUCGGAUUGUAAAGCACUUUAAGUUGGGAGGAAGGGAAGUAAGUUAAUACCUUGCUGUUUUGACGUUACCAAAAGAAUAAGCACCGGCUAACUUCGUG
rnacentral:rRNA from 1 species